GAGUUUCUUUACACACCUUUCCGGAGCCUGAUCAUUUGGGGAAAGGGCUCCUAGUCAUCCUGGAAGUGCCUCCUACUUAGGAACCUGCUUCUCUCUAGCCUCUGCCUACUAAAGGCUUGAGUGGAAUCCAGUAUGUGGCAGGUUGUUCAGUCUUGUCUGCUUGACUAGAAUUGCACCUUUUUUCUUGCUUGCUUCUUUAAAACUAAAAAUCUGGGUAAGGCAGUCACUUUUUUAAAGGAGCAUCGUAGCACUGAUAUUAAAGACUUCUGAGGUCUGGGCUGUGAUCUGCAAUAUUCAGGCCCCCAUCAAGAUACUGAAUAUCAACCCAAACACUUGCUGAUAGACUCAGAGACCAUCUGGUUAGCAUUCUACCACAGGGCAGGAACUGUGUACAGCAGGUGCUUAAUAAUAUGGUUCUCAGAUGUUGAAUGGAUGCAAGCAUCCCUUGCACACAACUAUCUAGUUUCUACAAUCUGGCACUGAAUGCCUGUCAGCUUCGCUGCUUGCUCUAAAAUGGUUUUUAGUGGCCAGUUUGAAUAUAAUAGUUUCUUAUUUUAAAUGAGUUUUCAGAGAUUUAGAUUUGACUUUAAAAAAACACGUGUUCAUUGCUUUUUAAAGAUUCUUUUUAAACUUCCUAUUUUGAGGUAAGUAUAGAUUCAUGUGCAGUUGUAAUAAAUAAUAAUAGACUGUGUGUAUCCUUUACACACUUCCCCACCCCAUUCUUUGGUAACAUCUUGAAUUACUAUAUUACAAUAUCACAAAUAGGAAAUUGACAAUGAUAUGGUUUUAUGUGCACUCAAUUGUGUGUGUAGUUAUUUUUUUGAGCGUUUAAUUCAUUUAAAAGAUGAUUAAAAGUAUUUGAACCUCUGUCUGACAUCUUUAAUAUUUGAGGUAUUUUUUUAAAGAAAAUCUGUUAUUCUUUCUCAAUGACUUAUCUUCCUUUAGUCAUGUAGUCAUAAUUCAGUUUGAAGGUAGGAACAAAAGCAUUGUUGUUGCAAGCUACUGAGUACAUAUUUAUGUUGUCAAGUUGGACCACUCUCUGAUGCUACCAGUCCACAAGUAUCUAUAGUACUGAAAAGGAAGAAUAUGCUUUCUUCCUCAAAAAAGGAAAGAUUUAUGACCAGGUGGUGAUUAAGGUGAAGUAUGUUCUGAAGGACUAUAGCAUGUUUGUCCAUUCUAAAAUAUUUUACCUUUUGUCCUUAGGGAGGUUUAACGAUCAUUUGGAGACUAUUAAUGGAAGCAAGAAAUAAAUAAAUUGCCUACUCUGAAGGAAACAGUACCAAAUUAUACUCUUAUCUGAACUGUGAUCUAUUAUAUUAGAAUAAGUGAUUUAUUUAAUAUACCAGAGUAAUAUAGUAGAACAUACAUCACCUUAUACUAGAUAGUAACUGAUUUCAGAAGUUUACUUGAAGAGACUUCAGUCAG